rnacentral:rRNA from 1 species
GAGACUCUGUGCGCGUGCAUAUCAAUAAGCGGAGGAAAAGAAACUAACUAGGAUUCCCUCAGUAACGCGAGUGAAGCGGGAAGAGCUCAAAUUUGAAAUCUUCAAGGUUUUACCUUGACGAAUUGUAGUUUAAAGAAGUGUUUUCUGUUGAGUUUUGGUAAAAGUUCUUUGGAAUAGGACAUCAUAGAGGGUGAGAAUCCCGUAUUUGACCAUUAUUUCAGCUGUGUGAUACACUUUCAAAGAGUCGGAUUGUUUGGGAAUGCAGUCCAAAAUGGGUGGUAAAUUUCAUCUAAAGCUAAAUAUUGGCGAGAGACCGAUAGCGAACAAGUACCGUGAGGGAAAGAUGAAAAGAACUUUGAAAAGAGAGUUAAACAGUACGUGAAAUUGUCAAAAGGGAAGCGUUUGACACCAGUGUUGUUUUCUCGAAAAUCAAUUAAAAAAUGCCGGAUUUUGUGUUGUAUUGACCUUAUAAGCUUUCUGCACUCUUUUCUUAUCUUUUUUAAUGCACUUUUCGUUUAACAAGUCAACAUCAGUUUCUUUUGUUGUAAAAGAGUCAUUGGAAGGUGGCUUUUCUUUCGGAGAAAGUGUUUAUAGCCUUUGAUCUCUGCAAUCGGAGAGACUGAGGUCUGCAGCGUAGACUCUUCGGGGUUAGAUACAUUUGUGCUAAGCUAUAGCUUCUUUAUAGACAACUUGUUGACUAUAAUUAAUCCUUGUAACUUACUCGCUUAUGCUAUUUUACCUACGCUUAGGAUGUUGAAGUCAUCGUAUCGCGC